rnacentral:rRNA from 1 species
UACGUAGGGACCGAGCGUUGUCCGGAAUCAUUGGGCGUAAAGAGCGUGUAGGCGGCCAGGUAGGUCUGCUGUGAAAACUCGAGGCUUAACCUCGAGAUGUCGGCGGAAACCAUCUGGCUAGAGUCCGGAAGAGGAGAAUGGAAUUCCCGGUGUAGCGGUGAAAUGCGCAGAUAUCGGGAAGAACACCCGUGGCGAAGGCGGUUCUCUGGGACGGUACUGACGCUGAGACGCGAAAGCGUGGGGAGCGAACAGG